GGCUUAGAGUUUGAUCAUGGCUCAGGACGAACGCUGGCGGCGUGCCUAAUACAUGCAAGUAGAACGCUGAAGAAAGGAGCUUGCUUCUUUUGGAUGAGUUGCGAACGGGUGAGUAACGCGUAGGUAACCUGCCUUGUAGCGGGGGAUAACUAUUGGAAACGAUAGCUAAUACCGCAUAACAGCUUUUGACACAUGUUAGAAGCUUGAAAGAUGCAAUUGCAUCACUACGAGAUGGACCUGCGUUGUAUUAGCUAGUAGGUAGGGUAACGGCCUACCUAGGCGACGAUACAUAGCCGACCUGAGAGGGUGAUCGGCCACACUGGGACUGAGACACGGCCCAGACUCCUACGGGAGGCAGCAGUAGGGAAUCUUCGGCAAUGGGGGCAACCCUGACCGAGCAACGCCGCGUGAGUGAAGAAGGUUUUCGGAUCGUAAAGCUCUGUUGUAAGAGAAGAAUGUGUGUGAGAGUGGAAAGUUCACACAGUGACGGUAACUUACCAGAAAGGGACGGCUAACUACGUGCCAGCAGCCGCGGUAAUACGUAGGUCCCGAGCGUUGUCCGGAUUUAUUGGGCGUAAAGCGAGCGCAGGCGGUUUAAUAAGUCUGAAGUUAAAGGCAGUGGCUUAACCAUUGUUCGCUUUGGAAACUGUUAAACUUGAGUGCAGAAGGGGAGAGUG
rnacentral:rRNA from 1 species